rnacentral:misc_RNA from 1 species
GUAGCAAUUGACAUUCCUUAACUGGUUGUGUGACUGAUUUCAUUGUAUUGUCCUCACGUAUUUGGUUACAGGUGGUGUAAAGCAUAGCAGACGCGAUUAAGAGGAUCAAGGAGGGGCAGUGUAUGGGGUUUGAUAAAAUCUGUGCAUAUAAGCCUUAUGUUUUGUGUAAGUAGUGUUUUUCUGGAGUGGUUUUGAUUUUAUUUCCAAA